CUGUUUACAUACCCACUCACACCUGUGCACCCUCUGUAGCUCUGUGGUGUGGGGGGCUCUGUCCUCCCACUAUGGUUCUACAUCUUUACAUACACACACACAGCGAUAAAGUCUCAUGGAAUGUAUGCCGCGUUUAACGCAAUACAAUACAACUUUCAGCAACGGAUCUCUUGGCUCUCGCAUCGAUGAAGAACGCAGCGAAAUGCGAUAAGUAAUGUGAAUUGCAGAAUUCAGUGAAUCAUCGAAUCUUUGAACGCACCUUGCGCCCUUUGGCUAUUCCGAAGGGCAUGCCUGUUUGAGUAUCAUGAACACCUCAACUCUCAUGGUUUGCCAUGAUGAGCUUGGACUUUGGGGGUCUUGCUGGCCUAUGGUUGGCUCCUCUCAAAUGAAUCAGCUUGCCAGUGUUUGGUGGGAUCACAGGUGUGAUAACUAUCUACGCUUGUGGUUUUCCAUCAGGUAACCUUCAGCAAUGGAGGUUCGCUGGAGCUCACAGAUGUCCUUCCUCAGUGAGGACAGCUUUUUGAACGUUUGAUCUCAAAUCAGGUAGGACUACCCGCUGAACUUAAGCAUAUCAAUAAGCGGAG
rnacentral:rRNA from 1 species